GGAGGAAACAAGCUCAAGAUAGAGCUUGCAUAGUGAGCUCAAAACAGCAGUUGAAGACUACAAAUCCAACCAAGGUGGGAAGUUAGGAUUUGGUUAGAUUUGUAGUUGAAUCCUAAUUGAAUUAGGAUUAAUAUUUAAAUCUAUUGGAGGAUAAAUUAAGAUUUAAAUAUUAAUUAGAGUAGAAAUCUAAUUGGAUUAGGAUUUGGGUAGUUUUUUAUGUAAGCUAAUAUAUAGCAUAUGUGCUAUUAUUGUGGUGGUGGUGGUACGGAUUAGCCACACCUAUAUGGCAUGGCCAAGGUGGUCAUGAUUUUGGAUGCACCUAAUGCAUGGGUGCAAGAGGAUGCGAGCGACUUUCAUAGUCGGUGGUCAUUGAUAUACCUUGUGCACGGGUGCACAGAAUGUGUGAGAUGUCUUCUAAGACUAUAGAAGACGAGAAAAGGGUAGGAGAGAUUCAGAAAGAGGGCUCGGGGUUUUAGUUACUCUGUUACAGAAGAGUAGUCAGCUUUUGCUAAGGAGACGGGUUUAUGGUAAAAACCAGAUUGGAUGCUUCCGUU
rnacentral:lncRNA from 1 species